AAAUGACUCUCGGCAACGGAUAUCUCGGCUCUCGCAUCGAUGAAGAACGUAGCGAAAUGCGAUACUUGGUGUGAAUUGCAGAAUCCCGUGAACCAUCGAGUCUUUGAACGCAAGUUGCGCCCGAAGCCAUUAGGUCGAGGGCACGCCUGCCUGGGCGUCACGC
rnacentral:rRNA from 2 species